rnacentral:rRNA from 1 species
GCCCAGAUGGGAUUAGCUUGUUGGUGAGGUAACGGCUCACCAAGGCGACGAUCCCUAGCUGGUCUGAGAGGAUGACCAGCCACACUGGAACUGAGACACGGUCCAGACUCCUACGGGAGGCAGCAGUGGGGAAUAUUGCACAAUGGGCGCAAGCCUGAUGCAGCCAUGCCGCGUGUAUGAAGAAGGCCUUCGGGUUGUAAAGUACUUUCAGCGGGGAGGAAGGUGUUGUGGUUAAUAACCGCAGCAAUUGACGUUACCCGCAGAAGAAGCACCGGCUAACUCCGUGCCAGCAGCCGCGGUAAUACGGAGGGUGCAAGCGUUAAUCGGAAUUACUGGGCGUAAAGCGCACGCAGGCGGUCUGUCAAGUCGGAUGUGAAAUCCCCGGGCUCAACCUGGGAACUGCAUUCGAAACUGGCAGGCUUGAGUCUUGUAGAGGGGGGUAGAAUUCCAGGUGUAGCGGUGAAAUGCGUAGAGAUCUGGAGGAAUACCGGUGGCGAAGGCGGCCCCCUGGACAAAGACUGACGCUCAGGUGCGAAAGCGUGGGGAGCAAACAGGAUUAGAUACCCUGGUAGUCCACGCCGUAAACGAUGUCUACUUGGAGGUUGUGCCCUUGAGGCGUGGCUUCCGGAGCUAACGCGUUAAGUAGACCGCCUGGGGAGUACGGCCGCAAGGUUAAAACUCAAAUGAAUUGACGGGGGCCCGCACAAGCGGUGGAGCAUGUGGUUUAAUUCGAUGCAACGCGAAGAACCUUACCUGGUCUUGACAUCCACAGAACAUUCCAGAGAUGGAUUGGUGCCUUCGGGAACUGUGAGACAGGUGCUGCAUGGCUGUCGUCAGCUCGUGUUGUGAAAUGUUGGGUUAAGUCCCGCAACGAGCGCAACCCUUAUCCUUUGUUGCCAGCGGUCCGGCCGGGAACUCAAAGGAGACUGCCAGUGAUAAACUGGAGGAAGGUGGGGAUGACGUCAAGUCAUCAUGGCCCUUACGACCAGGGCUACACACGUGCUACAAUGGCGCAUACAAAGAGAAGCGACCUCGCGAGAGCAAGCGGACCUCAUAAAGUGCGUCGUAGUCCGGAUUGGAGUCUGCAACUCGACUCCAUGAAGUCGGAAUCGCUAGUAAUCGUGGAUCAGAAUGCCACGGUGAAUACGUUCCCGGGCCUUGUACACACCGCCCGUCACACCAUGGGAGUGGGUUGCAAAAGAAGUAGGUAGCUUAACCUUCGGGAGGGCGCUUACCACUUUGUGAUUCAUGACUGGGGUGAAGUCGUAACAAGGUAACCGUAGGGGAACCUGCGGUUGGAUCACCUCCUUACCUUAAAGAAGC